AGAGUUUGAUCCUGGCUCAGGAUAAACGCUGGCGGCGUGCAUAACACAUGCAAGUCGAACGAUGAAACUUAGAUGAUUUCUUCGGAAUGAACUUAAGCGGAUUAGUGGCGAACGGGUGAGUAACACGUGAGUAACCUGCCUUAUACAAGGGGAUAGCCUCUGGAAACGGAGAAUAAUACCCUAUAAAGUCUAAUCAGCACCUGCUGGAAAGACCAAAGAUUUAUCGGUGUAAGAUGGACUUGCGUCUGAUUAGCUAGUUGGUGAGAUAAAAGCUCACCAAGGCGACGAUCAGUAGCCGGCUUGAGAGAGUGUACGGCCACAUUGGGACUGAGACACGGCCCAAACUCCUACGGGAGGCAGCAGUGGGGAAUUUUGCACAAUGGGGGAAACCCUGAUGCAGCGACGCCGCGUGAUUUAGAAGGCCUUCGGGUUGUAAAAAUCUUUUUUACGGGAUGAAAAUGACAGUACCGUAAGAAUAAGGUCCGGCUAAAUACGUGCCAGCAGCCGCGGUAAUACGUAUGGACCGAGCGUUGUCCGGAAUCAUUGGGCGUAAAGGGUACGUAGGCGGCCUAGUAAGUUAGAAGUGAAAGAAUAUAGCUCAACUAUAUAAAGCUUUUAAAACUGUUAGGCUUGAGAGAUGAAAGGGAAAGUGGAAUUCCUAGUGUAGCGGUGAAAUGCGCAGAUAUUAGGAAGAAUACCGGUGGCGAAGGCGACUUUCUGGUCAUCAUCUGACGCUGAGGUACGAAAGCGUGGGUAGCAAACAGGAUUAGAUACCCUGGUAGUCCACGCUGUAAACGAUGAGUGUUAGGUUCUUGGAAUAAUCUGGGAGCCGCAGCUAACGCAUUAAACACUCCGCCUGGGGAGUACGCACGCAAGUGUGAAACUCAAAGGAAUUGACGGGGACCCGCACAAGCAGCGGAGCAUGUGGUUUAAUUCGACGCAACGCGAAGAACCUUACCAAGUCUUGACAUAAUACGGAGGGAAUUAGAGAUAAUUCCUUACCACUUCGGUGGGCUGUAUUACAGGUGGUGCAUGGUUGUCGUCAGCUCGUGUCGUGAGAUGUUGGGUUAAGUCCC
rnacentral:rRNA from 1 species